CCGAAAAAUACCCUUCCAGAAAGAAUGCGAUCGAGAUUCCGAUUUCAAGCAGCAAGCCAAACUUCGAGAUUUGAGGGUUUCAAUCGAUGAGGGUUGAGAUCGUAGCUAAAACAGAGAAAAACUGAUGAAUCACGGCUGUAAGAGGGUGGUGGCCAGAGCUCCCUCACUCAAUUAGUGUUGAGGAUCACCAGAGGCUUACAUGCAAGCAUCGUACUGACCCAAGAUGUGUCUACUACUAAACCAAACUCUCUCGAUAACCUCAACGUCUUCAAUAGCCAUUGCAGGUUCAAAAGACAGCUCCUC
rnacentral:lncRNA from 1 species